CACGUAGGGUGCAAGCGUUGUCCGGAAUUAUUGGGCGUAAAGAGCUCGUAGGCGGUUUGUCGCGUCUGGUGUGAAAAUCCAGGGCUUAACCCUGGACCUGCAUCGGGUACGGGCAGGCUUGAGUUCGGUAGGGGAGACUGGAAUUCCUGGUGUAGCGGUGAAAUGCGCAGAUAUCAGGAGGAACACCGGUGGCGAAGGCGGGUCUCUGGGCCGAUACUGACGCUGGAGGAGCGAAAGCGUGGGGAGCGAACAGG
rnacentral:rRNA from 1 species